rnacentral:rRNA from 1 species
UACGUAGGUGGCAAGCGUUGUCCGGAAUUACUGGGCGUAAAGCGCGCGCAGGCGGUCUUCCAAGUCAGUGGUGAAAGCCUGGAGCUCAACUCCAGAACUGCCAUUGAAACUGUUAGACUUGAGUACGAGAGAGGUGAGUGGAAUUCCCAGUGUAGAGGUGAAAUUCGUAGAUAUUGGGAAGAACACCAGUGGCGAAGGCGGCUCACUGGCUCGUAACUGACGCUCAGGCGCGACAGCGUGGGGAUCAAACAGG